rnacentral:rRNA from 1 species
GACGAACGCUGGCGGCGUGCCUAAUACAUGCAAGUAGAACGCUGAAGGAAGGAGCUUGCUCUUUCCGGAUGAGUUGCGAACGGGUGAGUAACGCGUAGGUAACCUGCCUGGUAGCGGGGGAUAACGAUUGGAAACGAUAGCUAAUACCGCAUAACAGUAGAUAUCGCAUGAUAGCUGCUUAAAAGGUGCAAUUGCACCACUACCAGAUGGACCUGCGUUGUAUUAGCUAGUUGGUGAGGUAACGGCUCACCAAGGCAACGAUACAUAGCCGACCUGAGAGGGUGAUCGGCCACACUGGGACUGAGACACGGCCCAGACUCCUACGGGAGGCAGCAGUAGGGAAUCUUCGGCAAUGGACGGAAGUCUGACCGAGCAACGCCGCGUGAGUGAAGAAGGUUUUCGGAUCGUAAAGCUCUGUUGUAAGAGAAGAACGAGUGUGAGAGUGGAAAGUUCACACUGUGACGGUAUCUUACCAGAAAGGGACGGCUAACUACGUGCCAGCAGCCGCGGUAAUACGUAGGUCCCGAGCGUUGUCCGGAUUUAUUGGGCGUAAAGCGAGCGCAGGCGGUUAGAUAAGUCUGAAGUUAAAGGCUGUGGCUUAACCAUAGUACGCUUUGGAAACUGUUUAACUUGAGUGCAAGAGGGGAGAGUGGAAUUCCAUGUGUAGCGGUGAAAUGCGUAGAUAUAUGGAGGAACACCGGUGGCGAAAGCGGCUCUCUGGCUUGUAACUGACGCUGAGGCUCGAAAGCGUGGGGAGCAAACAGG